rfam:Triticum aestivum genome assembly, contig: Triticum_aestivum_CS42_TGACv1_scaffold_225027_3B
AAGGUACUCCCUCCGUUCGGAAUUACUCGUUCAAGAAAUGAAUGUAUCUAGAUGUAUUUUAGUUGUAGAUACAUUCAUUUUUAUCCAUUUUUGAGACAAGUAAUUCCGACGGAGGGAGUAUGUG